UGAGGAAUAGUUAAAUAUAACACAAGGUUGUCAAUCUUGAGUUUAGCAGAGUGCCACAA
rnacentral:tRNA from 1 species